AGCAGAAGGGGUGGGGACCCGGCCCGAGGGGCCCGGGCAGAGCUCUCAGAGGGUUAUCGUGUGUGGCCGCAGCUCCAGCCACACGGGGCUUCCCAAGCAGCCUCUGCAAGGGCCACUCGCAGACCCGCCCUGGCUGCAGCCCUCACCCACGCCCUGGGAUCCUGGUCCCUCUGGGGGCCCCAGCAAGGCAUCAGAAUCAAAGGCAUCACAGCGCAUCGGCUGUCCCUCUUGAGGUGAUCAGUCCACUGGUUCGAUAGCAACAACAGCCUGCUUCGUCCCAGAGUGGGCAUGCAGUUUCGAGCUAACUGGUCGUGGCUAGAAUAGCACUAAGGUGCAGAUUUGAGGGCACCUGCUAGACUCUGGAAUUGGGUUUGGAUUUGACAGUAACCAACAUAUGAAAUCUGGGGCACUGACCCUUCAUUUCCUCAUUUAUAAACUGGGGAUGAUAAUAAUACAACCUAAGGCACUGCCGUCUUGUGAAAAUUGAAUAAAACAUGGAGCACGAUGCCUGGGACGCACUUGGUGAAUGUUAGCUGCUGUCAUUUUUAUUCUUUUUCAUGAGAGGGAUUAUUUAUUGGAUUGGGAGUGAACACCGAAAGUGGCGAUCCGAUUGGGAAAAAAUUGGACACAUUUUACCCCAGAAUAACUUGUGCAUAGCCAUGAAGCAAAACACAGUCAGAUUCGUUGGUGGGGUCUUGCGUUCCCAUCCCCUGCCUGCCGGGGGUCUGGCCAAGGUCCUGGCUGGGACCCGAGGAGUCUUCUUUCGUAUCAUGUCCUUGCCUCUUUUUCUCAGCCUCUUCUGUGAGGGAGACCAGAGGGUGUCACAACAGCCCACGCCGGCCUGACCCCAUCCUUACUCCAGGACCGACUCUCCGAUCUGUGGCUGAGGAAAGAUCACGUCUCCCUGAAAACGCCCCCCAGAAAUGCCUGCCAACAUCCAGAGAUGAGGUGGCAAAAGGUGAGACCUUCCAAGACAGAAGACAAAGAGGCAGCCAUGCCUGAGCAAAUGAUUUCCCAUGGUUGCUUCCCUCCCCGGCUACACGGGCCCCUUGGCUAAGAGGUACGGAGCUCAGGAACCUUUUUGCUGGCUGGUUGGCUUCCCUGAGUAAACAUUAAGCCCCACUGCAGCUCGCUAAACAGGUUCCUGCAUAUCGAAGUGUUUAGCAGGUGCACAAUCCGGGCCAGAGCGAACAUACUCAGCACGGCGGGUCCAGCUGCUAGACAAGCUGAUUCUCAAGGUCACAGGAAGAAUCUUGACAGCAUCCUUCUGCGCCCUAGACCACACGGGGCUAAGAGCUAAUGCGCUGCUCUCUCUCACCUGCCCGGGUGGAUUCCAGAAUCCCCUCAUGCGUCCGCAGCAACAGGAGGGGAGAUACCAGGGGACUCUGCCCAAGAGCUCGAUGAGACGAGUACAUCCGAUGACAGACACUUACAUGGUGGCUCCCGGGAAGGUCAUUGCCACUGCACGUCUAGCAAAAGCUAGAGCGUAGUUCCCUGUGCUGUGCAGUAGGUCCGUGUUAAUUACCUCUUUUCCAUGUCGUCACGUGUAUAUACGUGAAUCUCAAACUCCUAAUUUAUACCCCCUCAUCCCCUCUUUG